UACGAAGGGGGCGAGCGUUGUUCGGAAUUACUGGGCGUAAAGGGCGCGCAGGCGGCCCUUGAAGUCAGGCGUGAAAGCCCCGGGCUCAACCUGGGAGGUGCGCUUGAUACUCGAGGGCUUGAGUGCGGGAGAGGAGAGUGGAAUUCCCAGUGUAGAGGUGAAAUUCGUAGAUACCCGGAGGAACACCAGUGGCGAAGGCGGCUUCCUGGCCUAGUACUGACGCUGUGGCGCGAAAGCUAGGGGAGCAAACGGG
rnacentral:rRNA from 1 species